rnacentral:lncRNA from 1 species
AAAACUAACAAAGUCAUCAGCUAUCCUCUCUAUCCCACUUUCUAUGAAAAAUAUGAGUUGAUAGAAAAAUUUUAUGAUCUAGCAUUUAAAUAACACCUCACUGUAGCCCACGUUUGAGGAGCGAUAGUAUUUGAACUUGUCAAUUCUAUAGUGCUUCCCUUUGACUGUUAAAAUUAUGCUGUAACUCUGAAGAAGUAUGCUGAAACUAUCUACAAUAUUUCAAUGAAGCAUCCACAAGACAUGAAGGCCUACAUGAUAUCACUUGAUUCACUUUUUUAUACAGAUGUUACAUCCAAGUUCAAUCACAGACUA